rnacentral:tRNA from 1 species
CUAGAAAUAUGUCUGAUAAAAGAGUUACUUUGAUAGAGUAAACAAUAGAGGUCCCAACCCCCUUAUUUC